UGGCCUUCUGGUACAUCUCAUUUUCUCAUUAUCCAAAAGAAAGAGCAUGGCAGAUGAAAAACUAGAGGGGAGGCUGUUUUAGAAAGGGCAUGAAGAUGUUUCCCAGAUGUGUCAGUUGGGCCGGAACAGGCACGAUUUUUUAAUUUGGGCUCUUUAAAAAGGUACCGCCUCUGUGUAACUGGAAAUGAAAGCAGCCUCCCAGAGUGAGGAAAGAGGAACAAAGACCAAGGACAGGACAGAAAAUUCCAAUUCUAGAGACUCAAGCAAGCUGGCCUAAAAAGGGCAGUCACCACGACCAGACCAUGAUUCAGAGCAAUGUGGGGGGCUUGGAACAGAAGAGAACAAUGAAACAGCAGGAGGAAGAGCUGUGUAGAAACUGGGCAGCUAGUUCCUCUUUCCCUGCCUCUGUCCACUGAUGAACAUACACGUCUCAGGAGCCUGGAGCAGAGCUCAGGACAGGAAAGUGCAUCAGGGGAGAUGGGAGACUCCAGGCACCAAGCCCUCUGCCAACAGUUUAAACAUGAAGAACUGUGAACCAUCUGCAAAGAUCCCCUCUAAGGAGCCUAUUAAGAAGCCAUUUUGUGACGGUGUGGAAGACCCGAGUCGCUUUAAGGACCUCUCCAGUCAUCUCCUUGCCAUGGGGAGAAGCCCCUGCACCUGGGCUCCCUUCCCCUCCCUCCUGCCUCUUCUGGGACCCUGAAGCACCCUCCAUUAUCUUCUGCUCCUGAGCCUUUGUUCUGGUGGACAGAGCAUGCGCCAUGGAGUGAGGUGGGUCUGGGUUCAAAUCCAGAUUACUGAUCACCUGUGUGACCUUAGUGUCCACACCCUGCAGGAAGAAAUCAAGAGAAACCAUGUCCAUGGCACAGAGGCUCCAGGGAUGUCCCCUGCCUCCGUAAGAGAGCUGGGUCCUAGUCCCAGAUACCAGGGGUACCCAGGAGAAAAGAAGAACAGCACCAGCUCAGGGAAAAGAAAUCUUUUGCCUGAUCCACUGGGGGUGGGGGUGUGGGAGGGGCACAAGGGGCAAAAAUGAAAUAAUUACAUCAACAAUACUGGUGACAUGCAUACAGGUCCUGUGUGCCAGGCGUGGCUCUAAGUGCUUUAUACCCUCACAACAGCCCUACGAGGUAUGAACUACAUUAUCUCCAUUUUACAGAUGAGAAAACUGAGGCACUGAGAGGGUGGAUGACUGCCCAAGGCUACAUACACAGCCAGAGGUCACAGAGCUGGGCUGAAAACCCAAGCAAUCUGGUUGGAGGCCACAGCCACCGGCAGCGUGUGCUUCCCAGCACUAUGCUACUGUCACCACUAUCAUCUUCUCCAGGGCAGAAGGGAGUCGGGGCCUCGAACUGGGAAUAAGAACUCACAUAAGCAAGAGUAUGGGGAAAUGUCAAGUUCCAAUUGUCCCAAUAAGGGAAGAGGUAUGAUAUGACAGGCACAGUGAUCUGACUUGUCAUUCCCAAAUAAAUGGUAUUUUCUUGGGACAAAGGCUGCUUUGCCCUCCUCUCCUUACAACACUUGAAUGCAGUAACAUGUUAUGAA